CCUGGACCCCCAGGAAGGCCUGGCAAGCCUGGUUUCCCAAAGCCAGGAGGCCCUGGGGGCCCAGCUAUUCCUGGAGCCCCAGGGAGACCUUUUGUUCCUGGAAUCCCUGGCUGGCCUGGGGCUCCAGCAGCUCCUGGCUUUCCAAUGCCUUCUGGCCCUCGUUCCCCAGGAGGGCCUUGGGGACCUGGUGGGCCAAUUGGUCCCAUUUCUCCCGGUCCAGGGAUUCCAGGUGGUCCUGGUGGGCCCCGGGGUCCUGGUAGGCCAGCUGGUCCAACAUCUCCUUUUGGUCCAUAUGGUCCUCUCUCUCCUGGUUUUCCUGGGAGUCCUGGCACACCUGGUUUCCCUACAGCUGAUGGUCCCGGUGGUCCUGGCAACCCUGGCUCUCCUUGGAGUCCAGGACUUCCGUACCCUCGAGGUCCAGCAGGGCCUGGUGGACCA
rnacentral:lncRNA from 1 species